rnacentral:rRNA from 1 species
AUUGAACGCUGGCGGCAGGCUUAACACAUGCAAGUCGAGCGGGGUGAUGGUGCUUGCACUAUCACUUAGCGGCGGACGGGUGAGUAAUGCUUAGGAAUCUGCCUAUUAGUGGGGGACAACAUCUCGAAAGGGAUGCUAAUACCGCAUACGUCCUACGGGAGAAAGCAGGGGAUCACUUGUGACCUUGCGCUAAUAGAUGAGCCUAAGUCGGGUUAGCUAGUUGGUGGGGUAAAGGCCUACCAAGGCGACGAUCUGUAGCGGGUCUGGGAGGAUGAGCCGCCCGACUGGGACUGAGACACGGCCCAGACUCCUACGGGAGGCAGCAGUGGGGAAUAUUGGACAAUGGGGGGAACCCUGAUCCAGCCAUGCCGCGUGUGUGAAGAAGGCCUUAUGGUUGUAAAGCACUUUAAGCGAGGAGGAGGCUCUUUUGGUUAAUACCCAAGAUGAGUGGACGUUACUCGCAGAAUAAGCACCGGCUAACUCUGUGCCAGCCGCCGCGGUAA